rnacentral:rRNA from 1 species
GGGCCCGCACAAGCGGUGGAGCAUGUGGUUUAAUUCGAUGAUACGCGAGGAACCUUACCAGGGCUUAAAUGUAACGGGACAGAUCUAGAGAUAGAUCCUUCUUCGGACUCAUUACAAGGUGCUGCAUGGUUGUCGUCAGCUCGUGCCGUGAGGUGUCAGGUUAAGUCCUAUAACGAGCGCAACCCCCAUCGUUAGUUGCCAACGAGUAAUGUCGGGAACUCUAACGAAACUGCCAGUGCAAACUGUGAGGAAGGUGGGGAUGACGUCAAAUCAUCACGGCCCUUACGUCCUGGCUACACACGUGCUACAAUGGCCGGUACAGAGAGCAGCCACUUCGCAAGAAGGAGCG